CGUUGUGCAGCGUGUCGUCCGGCACGUGCUGGUCCACGUACAGCUGGGCCUCGCUGGCCUUGAGGAAGGCCAUGAAGCGCGCGGUGAAGGAGGCCACGAAGAUGGACAGCAUCCCGAAGUCCAGCAGGUUCCACAGAAAACGUGUCCUGAUUUCAAACAGCUCUUUUCAGAAUUGGGAUUUUCAGGAUUUCAGCACAGGACUGCUAUUCCCAACAAAAGAUGAACAACUAAGAUUUAGCGGGGAAUAGGUGGUACAUGGCUAUCCUGUCCUUCAAGCCUGCUCUAGCUGGUAACACCGACGAGGAGAGGAGAAAGCAAAACAGCACAUGGGCUUCCUGUGGAAUAGUGCUUCUGCAGAGAAAGAGCUUGUUCUAUCAGAAUGAAGCACCUCUGAAUCAUACAACACACACCAGUCUUCCUGUUCUCCAGCUCUGACCACGUCGAAUUUCUGUGACAGAAGAUGGAGGAACGGGAUAAAAGGCUUAUAGAUGUGGAGAUGUUGAAUGCAGAAGAGGAUGUUGGCAAGAAGAAGACGAGAGGAAAGAAGAGAAGAAAAACUGCUUUUGGGCCAGCUUGCAAAGCUAGAUCUGUGCAUUUCAAGUGAGUGUGUGCCCCAGGAGGGCAGGAGUGUCUUCUGCCUUGUACACCAGCUGGUGAAAAUAGAGUCCCUGGCUUGAGUCAGAAACUCAGUGAACACUCACUCCAUUAGUAGACAGCCCACACAUGAACGAAUUCCUACUGCACAGGUUUCCCAGACACGACAAGCUACAUGAAAUGUUCACUUAUUUUCCAGUUGCCUUCAUAUCCAAAGUUGUAAAAGUUUCAUCUUCCUGAACAGUUAACUGCUUUGUCAUUGUUUUUAGAAGGAUUAUGAAGGGGAGUCAUGAAAUACUCAUGGCACUCCUAAAAUUCAUCCUAGAGAUGAAAAAAAUCACUGCUUCAGUGUUCAUGGCCCUAAAACCAGCCUCGUGAACAGAAAGAGAGGGAAAAUCUAUCUUUUGAGUAAUGCUAUAUAACCGGCAAUUUUAAGAUCUCUUGGCCUGCACGGCAUGAAUGGCGAAUGGCAACGGGGCUGCCGAGUCCCAGAAAGGUGCUGGCCUUUGAGGGGUCAGGAAAGGCAAAAGUGAUCCGUGCGCACAUGAUGCAGGGAGUGAAGAAAUGCAGGGCAAGUGAGCAGUGAGCAAAAAUGCACCCCAGGGAAAGAGAACAGAAGAAAGGAUGAGGACACAGAUGGGUAAGAUACUCACCCACAGGCACAAACAGCGCCUCACAGACACAGCCGUGCCUCCAUCUCUAUGCUGGAUUGGUCCUAGGACUCCCUGCAGAAGUCAAAAUCCAUGGAUGCUCAAGGUCAGUGUAUAAAAUGGUGUUGUAUAUGCAUACCCCGGUAUGGCCUCCCGUAUCCUUUAAGUCAUAUCUGCAUCAUUUAUAAUACCGCAGAAAAGAUAAUCAUGUUAUACUGUGCCUAGGUUACUUAUUAUACCUAGUACAGUAUAAAUGGUUCUUACAUGAUAUUGUUUAGGAACUGGUAAGAAAAAUGGUCUGUACUGUUCAGUACAGAUGCAGUUUUUAUUUUUAGAUAAUUUUUCAUCUAUGGUUGGUUGAAUCUAUGGAUGCAGAAGCCCAGAUAUGGAGGGCUAACUCUGCAAGCCAGCUCUCAUGGAGCUGAGUGACUUAACAUUUCAGUUAAAAAAAAAUGUUGCAUUUAGAAAUUUACAGGCCAUACUCUGAUAACCAUGGAGAGUGAAAAUUCAUUCGUGUAGUCAAUGAAUGUAUAUUGAACAUCUGUCCUAUGCAACCACUAGGAGUAGAAUGUAGACACAGUGUCUGUCCUCAAAAUUUCUAUUCUAAUGGGGAAUUUAAAGAGAGAUAAUAUUAUUUAAUUAAUACACAAUUAAUCAUUAGAAUUUUAGGAGUUGUGAAGGGGAUGGUCAAGGGUACUGUAGACAUUUGAGCUAUGUUCUUUUUUAAAAAAAUAUUUAUUUUAUUUAUUUGAAAGACAGAGUUACAGAGAGAGAGGUAGAGACAAAGAGAGAGGUUUUCCAUCCACUGGUUCACCCCCCCGGUGGCUGCAGUGGCCGGAGCUGUGCUGAUCCAAAGCCAGAAGCCAGGAGCUUCUUCCAGGUCUUGCAUGUGGGUACAAAGGCCCAGGACUUGGGCCAUCUUCUACUACUAUCCCAGGCCAUAGCAGAGAGGUGGAUCGGAAGAGGAGCAGCUGGGGACUAGAACCUGCAUCCUUAGGGGAUGCAGGCACUUCAAGUCAGGGCUUUCAUCCACUGCACAACAGCACCGGCCCCUUGAGCUAUGUUCUAAAGUUUUAAGCAUAGCCUAUUGGGGCACUCCAGCUAGGGAGGACAGUGUUUGCAAAGGUCCUGUGGCAAUGGAAGUAUGUUCCAUUGGAGAAUUUGGCCAGAAUGCAGUGUGUGAUGGCAGAAGUAACAAAGGUCUGGACUACACAGGGCAUGCUAAGUGUUUGACACUUUUUUCUGGAAGAAAUGAGAAGUCACUCAAGGGUUUUAGACAGAGUUCAGAGGUGCAGCCUUGGUGGUGGGUCGCUGGGCACUGGGGAGAGAGCUGGCUCAGGCUGAUCUGUGACAAGCAUUCCUGCACAAUGGUUGUGGUCACGAGCAACGCGUUCUGAUUCUGAUUGAUGUGCCUCUCUUAGACAAAGCUUUCAUUUUGCCGAUGAGUGAUCUGUCCAGUGUAUCCCUGAGUCCGCCCAAUUUUCUGCCUAGAGAAGGUUUCCAGUUUAACCCAUUUCUCAUUAUGAAAUGAUUGGAAAAGCAAGUCUUUGUUUACCUAUUACAACUGAAGGAAACGUUCUCCACAGAGAGACUGGGCCCAAUCUUGGGCCUGUAACUCAUGCCCUCUGAUCAUGAUUUGCAGUAAAUCCGCUGGGAUCCUCAGAGUGUCUCCCUAUUAAUCCUUGCUCUAGCCUUACAUCUUAACUUGGGAAAUCACGGAUCCCUUCACUUACUAAGAAAAACCAACAGACUAUAACAUGAGUAUAGUUUCAUCUGUUUGGAAGUGUUUGCAUCUUUGUGAAAUUUUAAUGGAAAUGGAAAUUCACUUUCCAGAAGAAAAAAUGUGAGUCAGAGGUUUUUGGAUGUCUGGCUUUCCCCCCAAACCCCUAUCUAGACAGCUAGGAUGUGUCCUGCUAGGGUUUUUGUUUAUGCUACUCUUAGGAUCAUAUGAAAUUCAAUUGUACCAUGAACUAUGCUUUAAAAAAAAAAAAAAAAAACUUACCUUUAAAAAAACCCAUGCAUGAGAAAGCUGAAUCUACAUUAGAUCGUUUGAGUUUCACACCAGAUCCAGCAAUGAUGGAAGACUGGGGGAACUUUUAAAACAUUUCUUCAGCAAUUACUGUUUGCCAGGCACAUGUGGGAGCUUUAGCUGUACCAUCUCUUUCUACCCUCGUAAUUAUCCCAGGAGCUGGCUACUGUUAACAUUUCCAUUCUGCACACAAUGAGAUGACUCAGGAAGGCCAGUGUGCUGCCUGGGAUGUGCUAGGACUGGGAUCUGUAGUCUGUGUAUAUACAACUCAAACACCCCCCUCUUGUUUUAAAAGUUUGAAAAAAAUAGUUAUUUGAGGAGAGAGGGUGGGGGGAGAGAAAGAGAGAGAGAAGGAGAGAGAGAGAAAGAUUGACAGAGGAACAAGCUCAUCUUCUGCUCUGCUCCCCAAAAUGCCCAUAAUGGCUGGCUCGGGCCAAAACUGGGAGUUGGGAACUGAAUUGGGGUCUCUUGUGUAGAUGGCAGGAACCCAAUCAUCACUCCUUCCUAGGUUCCCCACGAGCAGGAAGCUGGAGUCAGGAGCCAGGACUCAAACACUGCUACUCAGAUUUGGGACAUGGGCAUCCUAAUCAGUAUCUUCACCCACAGGCAAACGCCCAACCCAUCCUCUCUUUAUUUCUUACUUGAUAUGGACUGCAGUUGGAUUAAUUACCUAAAAUGCGUCAAUAACUAAGCCACCUUUGGCCAAGUGAAGCAAGGAUGGGCUUUGGCCUCAGAUAGUGGCCCCACCUGUCCCAUGUAUUGGUCACAAGGACCCAGUGAAGUACCAGUGAAGAAGUCAAGAAGAAAGCUGCAUCAGUACAGAAACCAGAGGUGGCACUGUCCUCCGGUCAGAAACUCACAGGAAUUUCUGACAGCGCAGAAGUCACAGGACGAGGUGGAGCAUCUCAAUGGAGCUAAGCAGGAGUUGCUUAGCCCAGCCCCUAAUUUGCAUUCGUGUUGGCAGGAAGUGGGAGAGGUGGCAGGACAGAAAAACUUCCCUGUUGGCCUCUGCCAUACCAGAGCCAGAUCCACAGCAGACUCCACUCAGCAGGGAGGGGCCCACUGGAGAAGCAGCCUUGGGGAUUAGACUGCAUGUGGAGAGGCCAUUUAAAAGCCACUGGGCAGAUUUGUUUUUCCUUUCCCCAUCUAUGAUGCCAAGAAGUAACAAAAUGCUACCUGCAGCAAACAUUUCAGUAAGAACCUGCAAUUCACUCAGAGUACAAACUGUUCCUCAGGAAGAUAGAUGGCCUGUUCUGAGGAAUGCAGCAUGUGUUUGUUUAUGGGCUUUGGAAUUAUCCGUUGGGCAGUCCACUGGUGGUUGUGAAACAGAAGGAACAAUGGUGCAAUAUUUGCAGAAAUUUGAUCCAUAAUUCUUUUUCCCUAUGUGUAAGGUCUGUCUCCUCCGCAUUGUGCAAGGCCCAGAUUUAAUGCCCAUUCUUCCAUAAAACCAUUACUUAUCUAUCAUUUCCUACCCUGUCCUGUUUUGCUCUUGCACCAGAAGUAGUAGCUCCAUUUUUUAUUUGCUUGUUUGAUGAUCAUUGUAGUGUAAGGUUGUUUUUUUUUUUUUUUUUUUCAAGAUUGAUUUAUUAUUUGAAAGGCAGAGUUACAGAGAAGCAGAAGCAGAAAGAAGGUCUUCCAUUUGCUGGUUCACUUCCCAGAUGGCUGCGACAGCCAGAGCUGUGCCGAUCCAAAGCCAGGAGCUUCUUCGUCUCUCACAUGAGUGCAGGGGCCCAAGGACUUGGGCCAUCCUCCACUGCUUUCCCAGGUCACAGUAAAGAGCUGGGUCGGAAGUGGAGCAGCCGGAUCUUGAACCGUCGCCCAUAUGGGAUUCCGGCACUGCAGGCAGCAGCUUUACCUGCUAUGCCACAGCACGGGCCCCUGUAGUUUUUGUUUGUUUGGUUUUUUUUUAUUUGUUUGUUUUUUAGAUUUUAUUUAUUUAUUUGAGAGGUAGGGUUACAGGCAGUGACAGGGAGAGACAGAGAGAGAGGUCUUCCAUCCCUUGGUUCACUCCCCAAGUGGCCACAAUGGCCGGAGCUGUGCUAGUGCAAAGCCAGGAGCCAGGUGGUUCUCCCUGAUCUCCCAUGUGGGCUCAGGGACCCAAGCACUGGGGCCAUCCUCCACUGCUUUCUCAGGCACAGCAGAGAGCUGGCUUAGAAGAGGAGCAGCCGGGACUAGAACUGGCGCCCAUAUGGGAUGCUGGCACCACAGGUGGAGGAUUAACCUACUGUGCCACGAUACUGGCCCCUGUAGUUUAAGUUUUAAAGUCAUAAUUGUGUAGAGUAAAAACAAAAUCACAUAACCAAAUGUUAGGAGGUACCCAGUGAAAAUAUGUCUGCCAGCCAUUCAACUCUCUCAGUUCUUCCCAGAGGCGUUUUCUGAUUUCAGUCUCUUGAAAUGUCUUUCCAAAGAUGGUGGUCUAUAUAGAUGAUGGCAAAUAAAAUUUCCUGUGCAUACUAUUUGACUUCUCUCUUGUUGAAUCAAGUCUGUGUCUUAGAAGAUAUUCUGUAUCAGACAUAUAGAUCCAUUUCAUUUAUUUUUACAGCUGUCUAACUUUAUAGUUCUGUCUCCCUGUUUUGAAUUACCGUGAUAUCUGCAUUGCCUCUGUGAGAGUACAGGUGUAUUCUCACCUUCACUGGAGACCUAGCGUCUGUUCAUAUACUGCCCUCUUUGCUGGUUUUCAGACUCAUUGAUGGCAAAGACUUCGUCACAUUUGUUUAGGGCUUAUUAUAAUCUUAAGGUCCACGUAUUCAAUAGCUAAGUUGUAAAACCCUGUCAAGGUGCCGUUUUGUCUCAGAUACCAUUUCACUCACAGUAGUGAGCCAUGCUCCAUUUCCCGGUCAUGAACUGGGACAGCUUCCUAGGAGUGUUCUUUGUUUGCAUCAGGCCAGAGAUGUCUAGAUGAUCAGAGACAGAAACGUGAAGAAGCAGUGUGGUUUCUGUCGACUCUCCUGAUAACAAUCGAAAGGAUUUAUUUCCUAUGAAACUUCGAUUAGAUUGUAGCUUCUUGACAGACUGCUGUAACCCACUGUGAGUGUUCAGCGCUUGUUUGCCUAGCACACAGCGGGAAGCUGAUGCCAGGUGACUGAAUAACACAGGAAGGCGCAGGCGUAGCUCAGUCUCAGUAGGAGAACACUGGGACCCGCACUGUGCUUCCUUUCUGUCUCCUCUCUUGCCGUGGAGAACAAGACUGCCCCCGAGUCUUCUUCCGGGAGUUUUCAUAUCACUGUAGUGAUGUAAGUUUGUCAGGAUAUUUUGAGGGCUUGGAGUGAAUGAUGCAGACACGUGUGCACAUUAUCACAUUCUGGGAAUAAAGAGCCAGAUUACAAAAUUCAGGAUCAAUAUGAUCCCAGCACUCAUCCACUUAUGCACACAGAGAAACAGUGCUGCACUGACAUGUCAAAAUAGUAAUCGUUUUAAAUUUAUGAAUCAUGGCAUUAGCAUUUAUUAUUCACUUUCUUCUGCGUUCUCUUCAGAAUGUUUACAGUGCUUCUGCACUCAUUUUAUCAUAAUAAAACUAUUCUGAGACAACACGGCAUGCUCUGUGAUUAUUUUCAGCUUAUUUGCUGUGUGUCUGGAAGAUAAUCUUAUCUCCCCAAGGGGAAUUAAGCAGUUGGGUGAGGAGGAGGCACAGUAACUCUUAUUUUAUUUGCAUGAUUGCAUUUUUGUUAGGUUCUUAGUUUUCAUCAUUUUCUGGGUGGACACAUUUAUUGCUCAAAUUUACCAUCUUUUAGUAAUCUAAGAUGCAGAAUUCUAGAAUGCAAAGCUUGGUGUGUAUGUGUGUGUGUGUGUGUAUAAAGUCAAUGAAAUACUGAUGACCUGAUUUUGCCUUCAAACUCCACACGUAUUUCCUAAGCCCCUUUACUAGAAAAUCCUGCAAGAGUUCAGGUCAUUCAUUUGUUACUGACCUUGAACAUGGCACAUCACUUUCCCUAAUGGAGACUUUGACUCCAGGACCCUGAGAGGCAACAGGUGAUGGUUCAAGCAGUUAGGUUCCUGCCACUCAUGUGGGGGGACCAGAUUGAGUUUCCAGCUCUUACUUUUUUAAAAAAUGAUUUUAUUUAUUUUUUGAGAGGAAGAGUUAUAGACAGGGAAACAGAGAGAAAGGUCUUCCAUUCUCUGGUUCACUCCCCAAAUGACUGCAAUGGCCAGAGCUAGACUGAUCCGAAGCCAGGAGCCAGGAGCUUCUUCCAGGUCUUCCACACAGGUACAGGGGCCCAAGCACUUGAAUCAUCUUCCACUGUUUUCCCAGGUGCAUUGUCAGGGAGCUGGAUCAGAAGUGGAGCAGCCAGGACUUGAACUGGUGCCCAGAUGGGAAGUCAGUGCUGCAGAAGGUGGCUUUACAACCUCUGCCACAGUGCCGGCCCUUCCAGCUCCCACUUUUGAUCUCCACUUGGCUCCGGUCAUUACUGAUAUUUGGGUAGUGAACCAGUAUAUUAGAGCUCUUUGUCUUCUUUUGGUUCUGUCUGCCAAAUAUAUAAACAAAUAAAAAAUGGGACUAAAUAAGUUUUUAAAAAAUUUUUGCCAUCUAUUAAAUAUAAAGUUGAUGCCACUUUAGAAUAGCUGGAUUAUGAAUGUUACCAAACUUCCCUCCGUGGGUCUGUGUCUCAUCUCCAAGUAACUGAGAGGUAGGGACAGGGUUUGCCUCUGCACUGAAGUCAGGAGGAGCUCCAGUGGCCACAGCUGCUCAUGGCCCUGCCACUGCUGUCAAUCAGAGCUCCACAGUAGGGACUUCACCAUAUGGAGCCAAUUAAAGAAAUUCAGGAAAGUGAACAGCUGUCAAGAGGCCCAAAGAUAAGAUAUUUGCAUUAUUAUGUGAAGAGACAAGUCUUAUGGAGGUAUUGUUUGGAAAUGUGCUUUCUGGUGAGCUCCAGAAACUUUAUCUCCCUUCAUGAUAUUAAAAAGGGAAAGGAGUCUGGCAGAAGGUCUUAUGUCAUUUAUUUUUCCUGUCAAGGAGAAUUCUAAGAUAGGCAUUUUCUAGUAAAUGUUCCUUGUUUGCAAUAAUUGCUUUCCUGGCAUUGUGAUGUAAUGCUGCCAUUUCCUUUUAUCUAAGCCGCAUAUAUGUCAAUAUCUGACCAUUCAAGCCAUUGUAACAAGAAACACAAAAAGAAAUAGCAUUGGCUGAUUUCCUGAGAUGUUGGGAUGGCUGCUGCCAGUUACAGCCACAGGUUGGGAGACAUCUCGAGAAAGAGCAAGGGAAUCUGUCCCUGGAACCUGAUCUGUUCUAUUGCAAUGCGCUGGAAUGCCAGCUCUAGCCCAGGCUGUGUUCCCAUGCCCCGACAGACUUGGCUGUCACUCUCGAGUGAUGAUGGCAAAUACAUAUGUGCAGUGGCUUACCAACAGCAGAAAUAGGGACGAGCCAUCAGUCAUCUUACAGAAGGCCCAAAAGAGAAGUGACAGGAACUGCACAUCCAGAUUUUGUCAGGGAAUAAUCCACCACAGUGUCUGAGUCAGAACUGGAUCACGUGGGUCUAGAUGGUAGACGCUCAGGACUUCAGAAGGUCAUAGGGCACUUGGCGUCGUAGGGGUUCCCACUGAGAGUGGAACAUUGGAGGGAUCAUAAAAGAAGUGCAGUGGAUAAUUGGCUUCAGUUAUUUCUAAUGAAUGGUAAUAAGCUAUUGAUAGUGGGGGACCUUUUCUCCAUCAUACAUAGGGCACACGCUACACAGAACCUCAUCAGUUCCUGCCACUGUAUGUGGUCACCAUUACUGUUGUGCUCUUCUGCAGAUGGAAAAUGGAGCCUUGAGUUUUUGAGAAUUUGUCCAGGCUCACCUCGAGUCAGGGAAUGGCCAGGCGUUCAGCCAGGUGUGAGGCUGACAGCCAUGACCUUCACCCACCAUGCUGGUUGCCUUGUCUGGACCCACUAUGUAGUGACAGGAUGCCUAUAGGUUCUGGAGUGUGUGUUAAUAAAGACAGAAACACUGUUUUUGUACAAAAUAACUUCUUAUGUAACAUGCUAAACUGUACCUCCCUGCCUUUGGAUUCCAAGACACAGGGUUUCAUGACAAAAAUCUACAAAACAAUCAAUAAAUGCUUUAUUUGAAUUAUAAUUCUACUUUGGCUCAAGUGGCAUAAUGGUAUCAAAGGAAAUGUUAUGCUCUGAGUUUGUAUUGCACUUGUGAGAGCUGUUCUCCCUAGUGCUGCUAAGUUUUGAAAAAUGAACGUUAAAUUUAGACCUCAGGAUUCUUUGUCUCCCCAAGGAAGAAAAAAUAUUGGAGUGACAGAAAAGAUAUUCCUUCCCUGGAAUCAAAGUUGUUAUGAUGUUGAAAAAUAGGUGUUUGUGAGUUUCCUAGUCUUGGAGAAAUAGAACUUACAGGUAGAAUUCCAGUAUCCUAGAUCCUUUGGCAUUUUCUCCCUAUGUCACAAAAUGCACUUGAGGACCCCAAUUAAGUUUUUUUUUUUUUUCAAAUAAAGACAUACAUAGCUUAAUUUAUUUGAAAGGCAGACUUCCAGAGAGAGAGGGAGAGAAAGAAAGGUCUUUGAUCUACUGAUUGACUCCCCAGAUGACCUUAACAGCUAGAGCUGGGCUUGUGCAAAGCCAGGAGCUUCAUCCAGGUCUCCCAUAUGGGUGGCAGGGUCCCAAGCAUUUGGGCCUAUUUUGGUUGCUUUCCCAGGCACAUUGGCAGGAAGCUGGGUUGGAAGUGGAGCAACCUGGACACAAACCUGCACCCAUGUGGGUGCCUGUGUCACAAGCAGCAGCUUGAUCCACUGUGCCACAAUGCUGGUGGGACCCAUUUUUAAAGGUGUUAAGAAACUGUAUUUUUCUAUAUAAGUUUUACCCCUCAGUGUCUCUUCAAAAGUAUUUUUUAAAGGUUAGGCUUCUCACAAGGAGUCAAGGCAAAAAUUUCUUAAUUUCUUUGUUUAGUCAUUAGAUUAAGGAUGAGGUGUGCUAGUAUUGGCUUGAUUCUUUUGAGUAGGAGAUAUGUGACAUGCUUGGCAAAGAUGUUUUGUACCAAUGUGGAGCGAAGUGGCAAGUGAUUUGCCUUUUAAGACUGAGAUUGUUUGGAAGUGGUAAGUCUGCGAUAUUUGGAAGAAAAUGCUGGAGGGGUGGGUUUUUCCGCGUGUCUCAGAGCCUUCAUUUCCUCCCCUGGAAGAGCAGGGUAAGUAGGAAAUGCGUGCCAGCUGCAGACAUGAAGCCCUGAGCCGCCUUCCACUCAACCCUGGGCCCUUCCUCAAGAUUUCUGUUCCUGCAGCCCUGGGAGGCAGCUCUCCAGGGUCACCCCGGGGUGUGCAGCCUCAGGGCUCCCUACGGACCCUUCUGUGCCAUUUCCCACACCCUCCUGGCAUGUGAGCACCAGAUGUUUGUCCCCUGAGCCCUGUGACACUCAGACUCCUCAUUUCUUGAUUCCCAAACGCCUCCCCACCACCAUUGUUCUUUCCGAAUGAGUCCGGUGGUGUCGUGUACAAGUUGCGCAGUUGCCUGACCCCUCAGCUCCGUGAACUCCUCUGUCCUCUCUGUCCUGCCCCAGACUGCUGUUGGGUUCCUUGUGUCAUCUAAAACUGUUUACUAGAGGUAGGGACUGACCAUGACUCCUAUUUCGGAUUUCCUCUCCUCUCUGUCUCCAGCUGAUUCCAGCCAUCUUAUCUUUCCCACUGCUUUUAGCAACUGACUCCAACUCUUGCCUCAUGGAAAACUCAAAGCCACCAUGUGGGAAACACUCUCAAUUUCACAACACUAAAUCUCCAGACUUACCUGCACCUGCCUUCACUUCACCUCCCUUUCUCAUGCCUCCCCUCAGGUAGGCCUGCAGCUUGUCCUGUUUGUCCUGUCGAGGGGCGAUAAAUACUACAAAGAAAUAUCAAAAGCAUAAGGGGUUAAGGAAUGCAGCAAGGAGGGACUUUGGAAAAGUGGAGGAAGCCUCCCUAAAACUCAGAAAGGAUUCCCACUGAGUCUCUCUAAGAAUGGCUCCCAGGUAGAAAGUUGAAGAACCCCAUGCUCGGGACCCUAGCUCUCUUCUCUGCCUUAUUCUCUGUGCCUUAGUCUGGCUGAACUUAUUUUCUAUAUUUCCCAGUGCCUAAGACUACCCCAGGGCCUUUACACAUGCUCCUGCUGCUUUCCACAUCUUUUUUCUUCCAUCUUCCUCUGCUCAGGUUCUUUCUCCUCCUCUUUUCUUUUUCAGUACUUGGGACACUCUUCUCUCCCCUAACUGGACGUAGUAUUUCAUAAUCUGCAGAUCCAGGCUGACCCCACUUCCUUUGAGAAAACUUUCCUGGGCUCCAGACCAGAUGAAACCCUGUUAUCAUCUCUGUUAUUAUGUAUUCUUAUUUAUCACACUGUUAGUUGUUUUUUGUAUUGUAU